rnacentral:rRNA from 1 species
GCUUACGGCCAUACCAACCAGGCUAUGCCCGAUCUCGUCUGAUCUCGGAAGCUAAGCAGGUUUGGGCCUGGUUAGUACUUGGAUGGGAGACCACCUGGGAAUACCAGGUGCUGUAAGCU